rnacentral:snoRNA from 1 species
UUCCAAGGAGAGUCUUUCUCCAGAGACAAAUCAUGUACCCCAGGAAAUGUAGCCACUUAGAAAAAUAUCUGGUACUCUUGAGAAUAUUGCAGAUGAGCAAAAAUGUGCUGUUUUUACUCUCCUUAAAUUAUCAGUAUAC